GCCAAGUUCCUGAAUCAUUAUUCAUCAUUUUGUAAGUUGUAACAAAACAACUAAAUAAUACACAUACUAAUCUAACAUUUGUAGUUUUUUUUCUAAUUUAGUAAAAUCAAUUGCGCAAGAUGGCAUUCAUAUAAAUUAAAAUAAUCACUUUACUACUACAUCAAUACAGGCACUUUCGUCGAAAAAAAUAAAAACAAAAAACAAACAUGCACACAAAUUAUAGUUAUUUUUUGGGUCAAAAUUUAAAAUACCCACCUUCAUAACUUAUCUAUCAAAAAUACCCACUUUC
rnacentral:lncRNA from 1 species